AACAGCCGUAGACACCGCUAGCUUGCACCGUCGUGCGCCCCAGGCGCAGCCGACGUACGCAAAGUGGUCUUGCAUCUGAUUGAAACAUCUUGAACACACACACACACACACACGCACACACACACACACUCUUUCCCAUCACUGCCACCGCUGUCGUGCAGCUGCGGCGCGUAUCUGGGAGUUCGCGUGAGUGCGAGCGGUGCCGCCCCCUUCUUUUCCUCCUCCCCGCUGACGCCCCUUUCACUGCUUUGGCUCUGUUCUCCUUGUCUAUCGUGAUCACUAGCAGUAGUAGUUGAGGACUAGUAUCAGCUGCCCUUCCCUCCCUCCCUCCCUCCCGUAGUCUGCUCUUGCUUUCUCUUCGCCUCUUCGUUUCUUCUUCUUUUCUUCGGCACGGCUGCUCGGGUCCGAUGCUGCGUCUUAUUCAGCCAACCUUGACGGCGAUGCGCUGGGUCGCUGCUGCCUCUGCUUCUGCGGCCGCGGUGGCGCCGACGACAAGCUACCCGUCCACAAACGCGGCGCUCCUUGCGAAUACCCGCGCCAUCCACGGUGAGGUGCGUCACCAGAACACGGACUACGACAACACCCGAAUUCCGUGGGACUUCACCACAGCCAGCUACGAGAAGAUUCACAACGAGAUCUUGCCCAAGUUUCCACGCGGCAGGCGAAUCUCAGCCACCAUUCCGCUGCUGCAUCUCGCCCAGCAGCAGCAGGGCGGGUACAUCCCGGUGACAGCCAUGUACAAAAUAGCAAAGAUUUGUGAAGUGCCACCGAUGCAUGUCUUCGAGACGGUCACCUUCUACUCCAUGUUCAACCGGCACCCGGUUGGUAAGUACCACAUCCAAUUCUGCCGCACCACCCCCUGCAUGCUGUGCGGCGCCGACGAGCUGAUGGAACGCACCAUGCACUAUCUGAACGUGCGCAUGCACGGCACGACAAGCGACGGCCUUAUCACGAUUGGCGAGAUGGAGUGCCUCGGCGCGUGCGUGAACGCACCAAUGCUGGUGGUGAGUGACUACAGCAACCCGCCCAACUUUUCGUACGACUACAUGGAGGACUUAACGUGGGAGAGCAUCAAGACGCUCGUGGAGAACCUCCGUGGCGGAAAACCUUUCAAAAUCGGCUCGCAGCGUCCAGAUCGCAGGUACGCUGAGCCGGCCGGUGGGCGCACGUCGCUCCUGUUCAAGGAACCGCCAGGUCCGUACUGCCGUGACUUCGACGCCGAACCGGACGAGAAGGCGGACGCCGCGCCGCCCAAGAAGUAGUCGUACCCUUUUAGUUCUGUUGAUGUAUGCGCUUAUUGGUUCUCUCUCUGCGUACCG
rnacentral:misc_RNA from 1 species